UACGGGGGGGGCAAGCGUUGUUCGGAAUUACUGGGCGUAAAGGGCUCGUAGGUGGCCAACUAAGUCAGACGUGAAAUCCCUCGGCUUAACCGGGGAACUGCGUCUGAUACUGGAUGGCUUGAGUUUGGGAGAGGGACGCGGAAUUCCAGGUGUAGCGGUGAAAUGCGUAGAUAUCUGGAGGAACACCGGUGGCGAAGGCGGCGUCCUGGACCAACACUGACGCUGAGGUGCGAAAGCGUGGGGAGCAAACAGG
rnacentral:rRNA from 1 species